rnacentral:rRNA from 1 species
CCUACGGGUGGCAGCAGUGGGGAAUAUUGGGCAAUGGGCGCAAGCCUGACCCAGCAACGCCGCGUGAAGGAAGAAGGCUUUCGGGUUGUAAACUUCUUUUAAGAGGGAAGAGCAGAAGACGGUACCUCUUGAAUAAGCCACGGCUAACUACGUGCCAGCAGCCGCGGUAAUACGUAGGUGGCAAGCGUUAUCCGGAUUUACUGGGUGUAAAGGGAGCGCAGGCGGCACGGCAAGCCUGAUGUGAAAGCCCGCGGCCCAACCGCGGGACUGCAUUGGGAACUACCGGGCUGGAGUGCCGGAGAGGUAGGCGGAAUGCCUAGUGUAGCGGUGAAAUGCGUAGAUAUUAGGAGGAACACCAGUGGCGAAGGCGGCCUACUGGACGGUGACUGACGCUGAGGCUCGAAAGCGUGGGGAGCAAACAGGAUUAGAUACCCUUGUAGUC